rnacentral:rRNA from 1 species
UACGUAGGGUGCGAGCGUUAAUCGGAAUUACUGGGCGUAAAGCGUGCGCAGGCGGCUUGUCAAGUCCGAUGUGAAAGCCCCGGGCUCAACCCGGGAAUGGCGUUUGAAACUGGCAGGCUAGAGUUUGGCAGAGGGGGGUGGAAUUCCACGUGUAGCAGUGAAAUGCGUAGAGAUGUGGAGGAACACCGAUGGCGAAGGCAGCCCCCUGGGCCAAAACUGACGCUCAGGCACGAAAGCGUGGGGAGCAAACAGG